rnacentral:rRNA from 1 species
ACUUUCGGGUAACUGAGACCGGCGUACGGGUGCGUAACGCGUAUACAAUCUGCCUUUCACUGGGGGAUAGCCCGAAGAAAUUUGGAUUAAUACCCCAUAGUAUAGUAGUGUGGCAUCACACAACUAUUAAAGCUUAGGUGGUGAAAGAUGAGUAUGCGUUCUAUUAGCUAGUUGGAGAGGUAACGGCUCCCCAAGGCGAUGAUAGAUAGGGGUACUGAGAGGGAUGUCCCCCACACUGGUACUGAGAUACGGACCAGACUCCUACGGGAGGCAGCAGUGAGGAAUAUUGGACAAUGGUCGGAAGACUGAUCCAGCCAUGCCGCGUGCAGGAUGACGGCCUUAUGGGUUGUAAACUGCUUUUGUAAGGGAAGAAUAAGGAGUACGUGUACUUUGAUGACGGUACCUUAUGAAUAAGCAUCGGCUAACUCCGUGCCAGCAGCCGCGGUAAUACGGAGGAUGCGAGCGUUAUCCGGAAUCAUUGGGUUUAAAGGGUCUGUAGGCGGGCUGGUAAGUCAGAGGUGAAAGCGCUUAGCUCAACUAAGCAACUGCCUUUGAAACUGUUGGUCUUGAAUGGUUGUGAAGUAGUUGGAAUGUGUAGUGUAGCGGUGAAAUGCUUAGAUAUUACACAGAACACCGAUAGCGAAGGCAUAUUACUAACAAUU